AAGUCGUAACAAGGUUUCCGUAGGUGAACCUGCGGAAGGAUCAUUACAGUAUGAAUAGAGGGAUGGUGCUGGCCCCUUUGGGGGCAUGUGCACGCCUUCAAUUUCAAUCCACAUACACCUGUGCACCACGGACGAGUUUUGGACUCCACUGUGUAAUUCAGUGAGUCGUUUCUUGGGGGGGGAUAUACUAUAUAUGAUAUACCCUUCAAGGAACUGAGUCUGGAACUCUGUCUAUUUUCAUUACACUAAUGCCUGUAUAAAAUGCAUGUAUUUUGGCUCUACGGAGCUCUAAAUAAAAUACAACUUUCAACAACGGAUCUCUUGGCUUCC
rnacentral:misc_RNA from 1 species